rnacentral:lncRNA from 1 species
CGGAAGGGAGGAGUAUCAGGGAGAGGCGGAGUUCCUAUAGGAUGUAAGAGGAGAAUGGGAUACACGGGAGCGUGCCUACGCAUCCCUCAAAGACGUCACUCUCUCUGGGAGCCAAAAGAUUUCAGUUGUGUGAAGCAUCACAGCUUCCUCUGCAAUGCACGGUGAAGCAGCAGUGGCUGCUGCUGGUCCUGAUCUGCAGGUCCUGCUGCUCUUGAGGAGCCGUUCCACCAUGGGGCCUUAUGGCUGGAGGUGUGCCAUGUAUGGAAGGGCUGAGGAAGCCUGGCUGGGUUUGGGCAGAGGUAGGUGGAGAGAAUGAUCCUGGAAGACUGUGGACCCUCAAAAGCCUCUGAACAUCUCGCAGUAUCCAGUCUGAACAGAGUGUAAAGAAGAAGGGGAAAAAAAGGAAGUGGAAAAACAGGCUGAUUAAAAGAUCCAUCAGAUGUGACACUGUACAAAUAUGGGAGACAACUGGGAAAAAUGUAAACCAUAUUUCUUUUCGUGUCUUAAGCAAUGAGUGCGAGUUCGAAAAGGACACAGAUCUCACUCCUGACAGUAACGGGAACUAAUACCUUUGAUGUGUUUAACAGCUCCCACUUUUCUCAGGAGAGGAAGACAGCUUCACAGUGCACUGCAGAAAUUUAGCAGUCCCACACUCCCAUGGCAAAGAUACAUGAAAGACGUUUGUAAUAUAAAGGUAGGAAAAGGAAGAAGCGGUUAUUGAUCUAAUGACUGGGCUGGUAACGGG